rnacentral:ribozyme from 1 species
UGUGUCAUUUGAGAAUCCAUUGUUUAAUAAUUAUCUAUUGCGCCAGAAACUAUCAAAACAGCGAGUUGCUUGGGAAGUUCCUGUAGAAACUCCCAAAGCCAAGCGCAGGUUUUUCAAACGACAGUCCCUCACUGAUAUUCUACAAAACCGAACACUACGAAACGCAGAACAUCCAAGAGGUACACCAGAAACGAAACGAGCGCUGCGUUUUGUUGGUGGUUCCUCUUGAGCCACACUGCGCUACCAUUUGUAUCAUAUCAAGUUUUGCGAGUUGUUAAAAUA